UCUCUCUCUCUCUCUCUCGACGCCUCUCUGUUUUCUAUCGAAAAGGCAUGGCACUUUCCCUCUCAUCCAAAACCAAAACCUACCUAACCACCUUUAUGGCGAGAUCAAUCCCCCGCUUCUUAGCCCUGCGCGCCCAUUCUAAUACUCCUUCCCACCCCAACCACACCGACAUCUCAGAUGACUCCUCCUCCACCGACUCUUUGCUACGGAAACUCGAGGAUGCCAUCCACCGGAUCAUCGUGCGCCGCGCUGCACCUGAUUGGCUCCCUUUCCUCCCUGGUUCCUCCUAUUGGGUCCCACCUCCUAGAUCCAUCGCCGGAUCCCUAGGGAUUGCUCACUUAGUUGAGAAGCCUGCCAAUCCCUUGACCGAUGAGGAGUCCCUCUCCAUGACCACCCUCAGAGGUUGGCCUUCCUCCGAUUAUUUUAUUAAAGGUAAUUGAUUGCUUUUUUCUGUUACGAUUUGGAAGAUUUUUUUGUAAUUGGGAUUGUUUUCAAAUGCUUGGAUUUUGGAUGCCUUCUUCAUAAAUUGGUGUUCUCUAUAGAAAAAUUCUGUUUGAUUUUGAUAGUUAUGAAUGUUGUUUGGUUGUUAUUAGCUGGCUUUCUGGGAGGGUUUCCUUUGUAAUUAGAGAUUAGUUCUCUUUAGUGGUUCAUGAAUAUCCCCAACAUGGACUGAUCGCUCUCUGCUCCUAGCCGAUAAAUGCACUAGUGUUUACCCUUGUAAAAAAAUCAUAUAUUGCUGAAGCUUUGGAAAUAUAAGUAAGUAGGAGGACUAGAUAAGGUAAAUUGAUGUUAAGAAUUCAGCUUGAUUUUAUAAAUAUAGUUACACCUUUGGAACUUCAUUUUCUUAAUGGUUGUAAAAUUGAUACAUCCUGCAACUGUUUCCCUUGGUCCUUUGAAAUAAUAUCUUAUCUGGAAUACAAUGUUUAUUACAGCUUUUCCUUCCCCCCUCCGAUCUGUUAUAGGUGCACCUCCACAUUCAAUGGAGGUGAAUAUGACUUCAAACAAAACAGCAGAGGCGGAGGCAACUUCCAAUAAUGCAUCUAAAUCUGAAGAUGACGAAGGAUGAAUUAUGCUUGUAAAAGAACUAGCAUCUGGGUGAGUGAGCUUUUUCCUUGUCUAUGCAUAUAUUGGUUACUUCUAUUUUUGUUUUUCACAUUGAUAGUGCUAGUAGUAUCUGCUAAAAUAUGUUGCUGACAAGCAAUAUCUAGCAUGCCAUUUGGUGAAUAUUAAGCUGUCCAUUUUAGUUUGGGGUUGGAAAGCUGGUGCUUCCUUCUUCAGACAUUUUCUUGGGAAGAUGUAAGAUUUGCGAGAUAAUUGUAUAUGUCAGCAUGCUAAUUUAUGUUGUUGAAUUGUUUUACUGAAAUCAUGCAAUCGAUGAAGUCUAAACCUGGAUUCUAUAAUAAAAUAACACAAAUUGAAAGAGGCAUUUUUUAACCUGAAAAAAUUUAAAUUGAAAUUGUUAAUUAUUUAAAAUAGUUAUAACUGAACAAAAAAGUGCCUCUGGAUAAGGGAAACGUUUGUAAAUGAUGACAACAUUCUCAUAUUCUUAAAAAGUAGAAAAGAUAUGGGAAGCUGGGUCAUGAUGUCACCUAACAGCAGUACCAGGUUAGGGGAGAAAAGAAAAAGAAGAAACUACAAGUGGGUACAGGCUAGAGACGUCUUAAGAUUACCAAGUUGAUCUGAUAUGACUUCUUUUCAUGGAACUAUGAUGCUUGGGCAUAAAGGCUAACAGAUUGAUGCAUUAUUUACGUACAUGAUUUAUCUUUUGCCUUGUAGACUUGGCUAAACUUUGCCUUGAAAAACUCUUUAAAUCUUUCAAUUGACUCUCUUAUUGCAAUGUGCCAGGCUCAUCUAGACGUGUACAUUUUACGUAGAAGCAAAGGUUCAAUAGAUGUGGAAAUUUUACAAACCGCAUGGCAAUUUGGUCAAUUGCUGGGAGCUGGACGGAUGCAACCUGGUGAUGCAGCAAUUAUUUUCAGAGAUCAUUGCUACCUCGAAGCAUGAAUUACCGGUUUUUGUUGAAACGCACGUUGUAUUUAUUGGUAGCCCUUCAGCUUUCUGAAUAUUUUCUUUUCUCAUGGUCGUUCAGAUCAUUAGUUUUCCUUGUACAUAUGCUUGCAAGAAUAAUAGCAAUGGUGUUUCUGUUCUCUACCUGCCCCGCUACAGCAUGAACCCCUCUCCCCUAUUACCCAUUGCCCUCGCUUUUCCCUAAAGAUAAGAAAAUGCCCAAGGAGAUAUAUUGGGCAUGUAAAUCGGUAUUUGAUGAGAUGAUUAAAAAAUAAAUCCAAUUCAAUUUGUGCGCUACUGGCUUCAACCAAACCCAGCCAAAAGAAUGUCAAUACACAUGAAUAUAUCGAGUCACGGUUAAUUUCUCCUCCUGCUAGGCCUCACGCAUUGAAAAAUGAAAACGAGCACGAGGGCGACGGUUCUACACGCAGAAAAACAAAAUAUUUUAGGUCUCACGAACAAAAAGGUAUGGAUAAUUUUCUCGUAAGAAAACAAAUGUUAAACAAGUAUUUCUCUAUGGUGCUGUUUCUUAAUACACAACGACUGAAAUACAGGUAUAGGAAUUCCUAAAGAUAAACAACACUUCCGGCUAUGUAGUUUGAAAUUGGAAGAUGCCCAUGAUUCUCCAUGUACAAGUGAAGGCAAGGACAAACUUUCCAGCAUCGAUUUGCUCAGUGUCCAAAUGUCAUGUCCAAACAUAAAACCAAUCACAUGAAGGCAAUACCUCAUGUAAAUUGUUAAGAACCAAAUUUAGUUGCUCCAUGAUGCACAAAUUCAUGUAGACUAUCCAAAAAAGACUCCAUCCAAAGGAAUGCAAGACUGAGAUUAUAACACCGCAGAGAAUUCCGAAUUAAUAAAGGCCCAACAUUCUUAGCUCUGUAACAUGGCUGGCAUCAAGUUCAGGUACAUUUUUGCUAGCUUCUCGGUCUUCUACCACAUAUUCCUGACAUAAUUACAGCACCAAAGUGAAGAUGCUUCAAUAUAAAAGAACUAGAACACUUAGAAAACCAAUCAGAGAUACAAAGAAGCAAGAAAAUUUGAACCAUCCUUCCAUGUCAUUUAAGCAACAUGAAUGUUUCACGAAGUUCUUUAGUUAAGCUUGAAAAUAUUCAUUACCUCAUUGCAAUAUUAGUAUACAAAAAACUUUACAUAUACGUUGAAAUAUAUAUAAAGUUGGAGCUUAAAGCGGGGGUUUGCUCUUCUAAAAGCAGACCUUUUGAAUAAACUCAUAUUAAAGUAGAGCUACUCCCAAUUUUUCAAAUCCAGAGUUUAGGGUUGCCAAAUAGAAAGACAACAAAGAUCAGAUUCCAAUUUCAUGAAAAUUUUUAUAAAAUUGGUGAUAUAAUACAGAAUUGAAUUUUAAUUAUUACUCUGAAUCAGCAUCAUUAUAUAUCAUUUUAGAAACUCCAAUAAACUUUAAGAACUAAAAUACCAGACCUUCGUUAGUUCUUGUUUGGCAAGAACGUGGUAAUGGCGUUCACUGAUCCUUUGUCCACAUAUAAUGGCAAUGAAGAAACCAUAGAGCAAACCCACCAAAACAAUAGCUAAAACAGCCAUAGUAUAAAACCCAUAAGGAUGUUCUUCAUAGCCAAACAUUUCCCUGAGCUCCUCCCCAUAAAACUUGUAGACAAGCAUCCCCAAUAGUGCAACAAUCAGCUGAACAACUACAAAAAUGAAUGCGUGGUCCCUGGCAACAAGGAACUGAAAUUUCAAUCUCAACCACCAGCGGUCAGGUGGGACAUUGGCACGUAACACAAACAAUGCCCUGCACUCUGUGCAAUGAGCAAAAGCAAAGCCCUCCUUGGUUGACCUCCAGUUGUCAAGGCACGACCUAUGCACAUACUUCUGAGUGCCUUUGCAAUGGCAUGGUGCAAUUAGGUCUUCUCCUGCAGUAUCAAGGCAAAUACGGCAUUGAGGUUGAUCUGGAUUCACUAGAUGGCAGGUUUCAUCGAUGCUAAGACUUUGUAAAUCAUCGCCAUCGCAAUCCCGUGCUAUAGAUAUAAUUUCACAUGAAGAUGAUGAUUCUUCAGAUCGUCUUGAAAUGGUAGACUGGCAUAAGAUGGGUUCACUUUCUGAAACAUCUUCCUUGUGACUAUCAUUUGAUACUAAUUGCAUUGCGAAUAAUAUUGAAUCAGCAUUAAACUGUCAACUCCAUCGCAAGGCCUAUAUUUCCUACUGCACAUUUCAAUAGAAAUCAGGCAACCUGAUAUUUACCAAAAAUGGAGGAUCUUCAUGAUAUUUAAACAAUAUCCGAAUUCGUUUCCAAGGAAUUCAGAAAAAAAUCUAAAUCUGGCGCGAUUUCAAUGGAAUUGAAAGGUUUGAAGUUUCGCGUCAAUGGCAAUGAAAGAGAGAGAGAAGGAAACACAAGAGAGAGCGCUAAUCGAUAGAAACACAGAAGACAGACAGACGUACCUCAACCUUGAAUUGACCAAUAUU
rnacentral:misc_RNA from 1 species